AUUCAGCUGACGAGUUCGAAAUAGAACGAAACGCACGUCCUGGAU
rfam:Schistosoma haematobium scaffold2129_2, whole genome shotgun sequence.